rnacentral:lncRNA from 10 species
UGUUAAAUCACAUGCACAUACUCAUGUUAUUGGACUGCACCAUCCAUAAUUCUUAUUCCCAACAAACUGCUGUCAUGAAGUGCUUAGUAGGUCCUGGUGUGGUUAGUCCCUCAAAAUGUACUCUGGGUAUUGAGUCGAUGUCAUGAAAGGUUGCUGAUGGAUUUUAUUUGUUGGAUAGAAUAAGAGGCAAAUAGAAGGAGGUUUUAUUCUAUCUCCAGAGACCUCUAGUGUCUUCUGCUUUUAACAUGAGGAUGUUGUUGCUAUUCUCUGCUUCCAAGAUCUUUGCAGUACAUGGCCAAGAUCUUUACGGUACUGGCCAAGAUCUUUACAGUAGAUGCAAUGAAACUGGCAAUGCACUUUCUUACUUGCUAAGGGUACUGUAGAUCACCACUCUGUCUGGUUGUGAGAUCACAACAAUAAUAACCACAUUGCCUCAAGUACACUGUUAAAACUUGGGGAAUGCUUAGACAUGGCUUCAACUUGUCCAGGCUGCCUUCUAGAUAAAGAUCAAACCAAGAAAGUCCAUGUGUCACUGCUCCGUGAAGGCUCCGGGUGGAACUCCCUGCCCCACUCCACCUUUAAGAUUUCCAGCACAGUGUCUUCACCUCCUUCAGCGCCCCUGUUUACAUGUCCAUCUCUCUCUUUAGAAGCUACAGACAUCAGCAAACUCGAGAAAAGAAGGUUUGCUCUGGGAGAUUCUACAUGUGACCUGUUUAUAUGUAAUUAUAUUAUCUAUUACUCAAGUAUUUGUCUUGUGCUGUCUAAAUUAUAAGCUUCUCAACUGUUUGCCUUGAGUGAGAUGUGCACGCUAAAGCCUCUCAAUAAAUAUUAAUUGAAUGAAUAAUUGAAAAAAACC